rnacentral:rRNA from 1 species
ACAAUGCGGAACAAUGUUUUGCAAUUGGAUUGAGAACAACGUACAAACCUUAUCGAUAAACAAUUGGAGGGCAAGUCUGGUGCCAGCAGCCGCGGUAAUUCCAGCUCCAAUAGCGUAUAUUAACGUUGUUGCAGUUAAAAAGCUCGUAGUUGAAAUGAAGGGUAGUUGUGUAAUGAAUACAUUCGUGUAUUUUGUUAUUCAAGUACCCUCCUUCUAAAUUCGAUAUAUGAGUAUUAAUUUACUUGUAUAUGGUUUUAGACUUUUACUGUGAGAAAAUUAGAGUGUUCAAAGCAGGCAUUUGCUUGAAUAUAUUAGCAUGGAAUAAUCAUGUAUGAUUUUCAUGAUGUAUUUGAUUGGUUUGGUUGAUGAGAAUAAGAUUAAAAGGGACAGUUGGGGGUAUUCAUAUUCAAUAGUCAGAGGUGAAAUUCUCGGAUUUAUGGAA